UUGUCUCAAAGAUUAAGCCAUGCAUGUCUAAGUAUAAGCAAUUAUACAGCGAAACUGCGAAUGGCUCAUUAUAUAAGUUAUCGUUUAUUUGAUAGUACCUUACUACUUGGAUAACCGUGGUAAUUCUAGAGCUAAUACAUGCUAAAAAUCCCGACUUCGGAAGGGAUGUAUUUAUUAGAUUAAAAACCAAUGCCCUCUGGGCUCUCUGGUGAUUCAUGAUAACUUCUCGAAUCGCAUGGCCUUGCGCCGGCGAUGGUUCAUUCAAAUUUCUUCCCUAUCAACUUUCGAUGUUUGGGUAGUGGCCAAACAUGGUUGCAACGGGUAACGGAGGGUUAGGGCUCGACCCCGGAGAAGGAGCCUGAGAAACGGCUACUACAUCCAAGGAAGGCAGCAGGCGCGCAAAUUACCCAAUCCCGAUUCGGGGAGGUAGUGACAAUAAAUACUGAUACAGGGCUCUUUUGGGUCUUGUAAUUGGAAUGAGUACAAUUUAAAUCCCUUAACGAGGAACAAUUGGAGGGCAAGUCUGGUGCCAGCAGCCGCGGUAAUUCCAGCUCCAAUAGCGUAUAUUAAAGUUGUUGUGGUUAAAAAGCUCGUAGUUGAACCUUGGGCCUGGCUGGCCGGUCCGCCUCACCGCGUGUACUGGUCCGGCCGGGCCUUUCCCUCUGUGGAACCCCAUGCCCUUCACUGGGUGUGGCGGGGAAACAGGACUUUUACUUUGAAAAAAUUAGAGUGCUCCAGGCAGGCCUAUGCUCGAAUACAUUAGCAUGGAAUAAUAAAAUAGGACGUGCGGUUCUAUUUUGUUGGUUUCUAGGACCGCCGUAAUGAUUAAUAGGGACAGUCGGGGGCAUCAGUAUUCAAUUGUCAGAGGUGAAAUUCUUGGAUUUAUUGAAGACUAACUACUGCGAAAGCAUUUGCCAAGGAUGUUUUCAUUAAUCAGGAACGAAAGUUAGGGGAUCGAAGACGAUCAGAUACCGUCGUAGUCUUAACCAUAAACUAUGCCGACUAGGGAUCGGACGAUGUUAUUUUUUGACUCGUUCGGCACCUUACGAGAAAUCAAAGUGCUUGGGCUCCAGGGGGAGUAUGGUCGCAAGGCUGAAACUUAAG
rnacentral:rRNA from 1 species